GCGUGAAGGAUGAAAGUCGUAAGAUUGUAAACUUCUUUUUUGAGGGACGAACAGUCAGGUUUCGCAAGGGGCCUGAUUUGACUGUACCUCUAGAAUAAGCCCCGGCUAACUACGUGCCAGCAGCCGCGGUAAUACGUAGGGGGCAAGCGUUGUCCGGAUUUACUGGGUAUAAAGGGCGCGCAGGCGGGUUUGUAAGUCAGAGGUGAAAUCCUACGGCUCAACCGUAGAACUGCCUUUGAUACUGCAAGCCUUGAGUUUGGAAGAGAGAGAUGGAAUUCCAGGUGUAGUGGUGAAAUACGU
rnacentral:rRNA from 1 species